GCAAGUCGAGCGCGCCCUUCGGGGUGAGCGGCGGACGGGUUAGUAACGCGUGGGAAUAUGCCCAAAGGUACGGAAUAGCCUCUGGAAACGGAGAGUAAUACCGUAUGUGCCCUUCGGGGGAAAGAUUUAUCGCCUUUGGAUUAGCCCGCGUUAGAUUAGGUAGUUGGUGGGGUAAUGGCCUACCAAGCCUACGAUCUAUAGCUGGUUUUAGAGGAUGAUCGGCAACACUGGGACUGAGACACGGCCCAGACUCCUACGGGAGGCAGCAGUGGGGAAUCUUGGACAAUGGGCGCAAGCCUGAUCCAGCCAUGCCGCGUGAGUGAUGAAGGCCUUAGGGUCGUAAAGCUCUUUCGCCAGGGAUGAUAAUGACAGUACCUGGUAAAGAAACCCCGGCUAACUCCGUGCCAGCAGCCGCGGUAAUACGGAGGGGGUUAGCGUUGUUCGGAAUUACUGGGCGUAAAGCGCGCGUAGGCGGAUCGGAAAGUUGGGGGUGAAAUCCCGGGGCUCAACCCCGGAACUGCCUCCAAAACUAUCGGUCUAGAGUUCGAGAGAGGUGAGUGGAAUUCCGAGUGUAAAGGUGAAAUUCGUAGAUAUUCGGAGGAACACCAGUGGCGAAGGCGGCUCACUGGCUCGAUACUGACGCUGAGGUGCGAAAGUGUGGGGAGCAAACAG
rnacentral:rRNA from 1 species